AGUGAACGCUGGCGGCAUGCCUUACACAUGCAAGUCGAACGGCAGCGGGGGAGAAGCUUGCUUUUCCUGCCGGCGAGUGGCGAACGGGUGAGUAAUACAUCGGAACGUGCCCUGUAGCGGGGGAUAACUAGUCGAAAGAUUAGCUAAUACCGCAUACGACCCGAGGGUGAAAGUGGGGGACCGCAAGGCCUCAUGCUAUAGGAGCGGCCGAUGUCUGAUUAGCUAGUUGGUGGGGUAAAGGCCUACCAAGGCGACGAUCAGUAGCUGGUCUGAGAGGACGAUCAGCCACACUGGGACUGAGACACGGCCCAGACUCCUACGGGAGGCAGCAGUGGGGAAUUUUGGACAAUGGGCGAAAGCCUGAUCCAGCAAUGCCGCGUGUGUGAAGAAGGCCUUCGGGUUGUAAAGCACUUUUGUCCGGAAAGAAAUGGCUCUGGUUAAUACCUGGGGUCGAUGACGGUACCGGAAGAAUAAGGACCGGCUAACUACGUGCCAGCCGCCGCCGUAA
rnacentral:rRNA from 1 species